rnacentral:rRNA from 1 species
UACAGAGGGUGCAAGCGUUGUUCGGAAUUACUGGGCGUAAAGAGCUCGUAGGUGGUUUGUCGCGUUGUCCGUGAAAACUCACAACUCAAUUGUGGGCGUGCGGGCGAUACGGGCGGACUGGAGUACUGCAGGGGAGACUGGAAUUCCUGGUGUAGCGGUGGAAUGCGCAGAUAUCAGGAGGAACACCGGUGGCGAAGGCGGGUCUCUGGGCAGUAACUGACGCUGAGGAGCGAAAGCGUGGGGAGCGAACAGG